rnacentral:lncRNA from 1 species
GGCAGGAAGGAGGAAAAUCAAGAGAGGCUGGAUGGAAUCCAUUAGAACAACAUCCACCAGGCAGGGAAAGAAACAGCACUUCCUCUCACGUCUGCCUCCUGAAUAUUAUGGAAGAACAAAGAUGACAGCCCCUCAACCCAUGACGGGACCCUGUAUUUUCUUCUUCUCUGUGGACUCAUCCCCCACCACCACCUACCCCUUGAUUUAUCUUCUUAAAAAGACAUAUUUGAGGACCUGAGCAGUUUUUUUUUGGUUAAAUGUACCAUGUGCGGUAAUACCUACAAAAGAAACGUGUGUACCUCCACCAGCCCACUCAAAGGAUGCCUGGACGUGUGCAAAGAUACUGCUGCCUCUAUUCUUCCAUGACAGCUGAGUUGGCUUCCUGGACUGUUUCUACUUUUAGAGAGGACUCAAAUGUCUGUUGUAGGUCCAAAUGCAUCAAAUAUCCAGAGCACGGUUUUGCAUAGAAUUUUAUUUGAACCCUGGGUUGGGUCAGAAUUGAAUUAACCAGCAGGACACCCCCCCCCCAUGAGAUCUGCCAGCGUGUAUCCCCUUCAGAAUGACCUUUCCUGACCUUCUUGUCAUCUAAUUCAAGCCUCCCAGGUGGCCCAAGAGGGAUCUCUUCUAAUCUCCUGGACGGUCUGUGGUCACAAACCUUCUUGGGCACCACCUUUUCCGCCUCCCCUGCUGUUUUCCCUGCCUCCCUCACCCUGUUCCCAUCACUGUCGUUUUCUAGGAGAGAGCUCAAGUUCUUCCUAAAGUAUGUGGCGUGGCCUGUCUGGUUUGUUCUGGGGUCAGCGUGAUUAAGAUAGAGCCGUGAGAUGAAAUAGAAGCUCUCUGUUCUAUCCCUGCAGCAGGCCUUUGGCACACAGACCUGCAACCAGCAUCUCCUUUCAUCCACAGUAGAAAGAAAGUGAGGCUACAUGCCCAAAUGAAAGCCUAGGAAACAGUUCGCCAGGCUCCUGUUUCUAACUCCUUUUCUAUCUGAAAUCUCCUCAUUGCGCUUUGAAUUGAUCCAGAAGGUUCCCAAAUCCUGUUAUCAUCACUGGGUCCUCUCAGUAGGAAAAAAUCCAGCUGCUCCAAACUCCAAGUCUUGUACACACUACACCCCAAGUAAUGGGUCUUUCCUGCCUCUCAUUUAUUCUUGCUGCCUCGGAAGCCACACCCAGCAGCCAGGAAUCAUCUUACCACCAGAGAGCUAACCCUGGGAGAUAAGGUUGAUGGGUCCCAGCCCAGACUCCACCACUAAGCAGUAGUGAGCCCCAGAUCUUGCUGAAGAGAAUGUAAGUCAUUCAACAUCUCUGGUCCUCAGUUUCCCCAUCUGUAGUUUGCUACUGGGAUGAGUCCGAAAUUCUAGAGGUCCAUCAUGAAAAUAGCUUCAUCUUCUCUCUACCUUCUUCUGAUGCUAAACUCAUCUUUACAAGCACCUAAUAGUUUUCGUUGAGAAACUGAAAAAGCGGGAAAUAGGCAAGCACACAAGAGCUCAGGAAGUUGUUUAGGAAGCCACUGUGGAAUGGGCAAGAGCAUGGUUUCCAUGUUGUUUGUGCUGCCAGUUUCUUAGUGGUUGGACAGUUCUCGCCCCUCGCCUAGGAAAGCAAGCACCCUGUGGAAUAUGGGUGCUCAAAUACUCUGAUCACAGUCCUAUCACAAAGGCCACAUUCCAUAGCUCUCCUGAUGUAAUGCCGUCUUAUUCUUGAAACAUGGUCUCAUGCAGAUGUAAGCCUUCAGAAAGUGUUUGAGUGAUUUCACCUGAGUUAGCAAAUGCACCUUUAUUUACAAAUCUUACCAAAUCUAGGGUCAGGGAGUUCCCAUUGGGCUCAGCAGGUUAAGAACCAGACUAGGAUCCAUGAGGAUGCGGGUCCAUCCCUGGCCCUGCUCAGUGGGUUAAGGAUCCGGCAUUGCCGUGAGCUGUGGUAUAGGCCAGCAGCUAUAGUUCUGGUUCGACCCCUAGCCUGGGAACCUCCAUGUGCCACAGGUGUGGUCCUAAAAAGACCAAAAAAUAAAAGUUCAGGUUUGCACCCACAACUGCUUAGUUGCUUUCCUGGAUGUCUUGAGAUAUCAAAGAAGAGGUAGGAAAAGAAGUGGCAGAAGGGAAAGUCUAAGUACCAAGAAGGUUGCAGUGAAAAGAUGGCGAAAUUGAGAUUUUUCUCAAUCCUGGAAUCGUUUCAAAAGCAUUCCAUGGGAAUAGUUUCUGAUUCCCUCUGCCAAUCAAAACAGGAUAUAAUAGUCUCCAGUUUUUUUUCUGUUGACUCUCAAAAGGGCCUUGACCUGUUUCUUCAGUAAAACACCUCACUCGUUUAUGCUCUCAAGCCAGAAGUGUUUGCAUUUGGCCUUCACCUGGUAUUGUGGAAAGACACUUUGUUGAUUGUUAAGGUACAUAUUGGCUGUAUAUUUGGAUGUCCAGUAACCCUCCUAUCAAGCUGAACUUGGUCCUGGUACCAAGCCUACAGAAACAGUUGUCAUGUUGCACCAACAAGAAGAAGCCCCAUGGCAGGGCACUCCGAAAUGGACUAUACGUUUUGGUACAGUUUUUGUUUCUGGCAAGCAAAGUGUGUUUUGAGUAAAGCUUCUCUCGGAAUUGCCGUGUAGACAAAAUCAUCAGUAUCUUCUAGAUGUGCAUCCCUUGGUUGUUUUGGGUAUGGAAUGACAGUUCUCCACGUGAUGGUCUUUUGCUCUAAAUAUUGACCAUUCCUUCUAUCAGUGGUGUCGCGCCAACCAGACACAUCCAUUGCCAGGGCUGACUUGUGUCUUUCUCAAACAAGACCUUGAUCCGGUUUAGCGAACCCAGAAUUUUGAGUGUCGAGGAUACCAUUCCUGGUCCCUAGUUUAAGGCCAAGAGCACUGGGGCCGGGGGCCGGGGGGGAGCCAGGCAGAAUAUUCACUCAUUUCUUGUCAUCUCCAAUGAUUAUUCAACAAAUAUUUAUCAGCCUGCGCUCUUGUGUUAGGUUAAGGCAUUGUACUGUGCAGGCAGUUAACCCUUAGUAGGACAUACAGUGGGGAACCAGAGAAUGAAAAAGAAGCUGUCUGUGAUGGGGGUCCCAUUACCUUUUGAGACCCCCUCCCCCAUAAACACAGUGUUCUUUUUCUAAAUUUAAAAGAAGUGAUAGUCUUUGAUGGGCAAUGCAGGAACUCCUCAGAAAGUGGGAAUAUCUUUGACAGGAGGAGAAAGCCCCGCAAUUGCUUGGCCUUUGUUGGCGGGAAUACAAACCAGAAUAUACUGGGAAAAGGCAAAAUGGAGCCAUACAUGCGCUGUUUCUUUAAAUACCCUGAUAGGAAACUGCGUGCUAACGUAUUCAAAGAAAAUAUUUGGCAGCAAAGAUUGCCCCAUCUUUAUAGUGGUGUUCAUUUUUAAAGUCCCAGUUUCUUUGCAGGCUCUCUUCUCAUGGCCUGAAAGUGGAGGUGGGGGCUGGGAAGUCUGUUCCAGAGCAAACAGCACUGGAAUUUUCUCUCGAAGCAGAGUCAGCAAAUCGCCCAGCUGCUGCCACGUCCCCCCCCCAACCCCCCCGCCCUGGCCUCAGCUUCCCAGGGUGUUUCCUUUCUGAUUUUGAAGACGUGUGAUGAAGUCAACUGUCUGCAGACCCCUAGAGCAGCCUUGCCCCUCUCUACUUUCAGCAGAUAAGCCAUCCAGAAAACAGGUUCUGACAGUCCAUGGCAGGCGAUUUUCAGAUUUCAGUUAAAAACCAGUGCAUAUGGUGUUGCAAUUGUCCGGAAGCUGCAAAGGACCUUUGGGGUCUGGGAUCUGAGGGGCGGGGCAGAGCAGAGAGCAGGUGGUUGUCAGGGACCCUCCGCCCUCCCCUUCCUUUUUUACCCACUGGCUUUCACCUUCCCUCCUCCAGGCAGGACACACACCACUUUCCCUUCUGUUCCUCCUCCCACCCUCCUCCUGUCUCCUUUUGACUCUAACCGUUGCAAAAGGGAGGCCAAGCUUUAUGGGGCUCUUAGGAAUGACGAAGGGAUGUGCCAUCCCAUGCGUGCUGGGUAGGCCCAGGGGAUGGAGAACAGGGGUGGGUGCAGGGGGUGUGACCUCUAGAUCAGUGGCUUUGACACAGCUCCCUGUGCUCGGCGAGAUCUCCAGCUGCUUCCGAACUUCUGCCUGAGAUGGCAUGGGCACUGCUGGCCUGCCACCUGAGAGAGGCCCAUCUCUUAGCUCGACUCCCGUCUCCUGAAUGGCAAGGAGGCCCACAAGGUCUCCUGAAUUCACUGACCUGGGGCAGACAGACACAUCUCUCCAUGCCUGGAGAGGGUCCUACUUGGUGCGGGAGGCUGCAUGCCUUCUACUCAGAUUUAAAUGCUGAAAUUGCAGGGGUUGCCCCCCUCUGUGUACUCUCCCAACUCCAUGCUCCCUUCGAGCCAAAAAUUCGCAGAACUAGAGGAGGAGAAAGUAGCCCUCAGCCUUCUGUGCAGACUCAGGGUUUAACACUGAGUUCGUGGCCUGCCCUGGAAGCUGGGAUGCAGGGUCCUAGGCAGCUUUUAGGCCAAGACUUUCAGGGGAGCAGGUGCAACGCUUUUUCUCAGAGCCCAUCAUGUCAGGAAUUUUGUGAGCCAUUGAGAAACAGCCAUUGUUAAAAAUUAAAGCAUGUAGGAGUUCCCACUGUGGCUCAGUGGGUUAAGACCCCAACAGUCUCCAUGAGGAUAUGGGUUCAACCCCUGGCCUGGCUCAGUGGGUUAAGGAUCUGGCGCUGCCCCAAGCUGCAGUGUAGGUCACAGAUGCAGCUCAGAUCCUGGGUUGCUGUGACUGUGGUGUAGUCCAGCAGCUGCAGCUCCAGUUCAACCCCUAGCCUGAGAACUUCAACCUGCUGCAGGUGAGGCCCUAAAAAGGAAAAAAAAAAAAUGGCAAGCAUGUAAACUUACAAUGAAAUUAUAUUUAAAAACAAAGGUAAUAGAUAUUCAAAACUCAUCCCUUUCUAAUUAUUUUACUGCACGUUAGUAUCGUCUGUGCUCUUGAGGUAAUUGACACCUUUUGUGUCUUUGUGGUGGAAAUACUGCGAAAUGCUGGUCUUCUGAAUACAUUCUCCAUCUGCAGGUUCAGUGACAUCAACUUUAUAGCUUGAAAUUGGCCAUGUCAGGAGCAUUCACACCACAGACAGCAACAAACCUGCAAAUCACAUUCCUCCCCAGACAGCGGUUAAUCAUUUGCCUGCACACCUCUGCCUAAGGCCCUGACCUGUAUGUGGCCCCCACGCCAUAGACCCUGACCAACCAAAUUGCAUCCCGUGGGUUUGUGGGUCAGCAUUGCCCAUCCACCCACCCAAGGGACAGAAAGACUUAGCAAGUUCAACCUCAUACUGUCCACUAGGGGACUCUUUCUGCAGUUGUAUUAAUUCAGAAUAAGACCCAUGGUACAGAGAAUUCACGACCCUCUGUGAUUCUCAUUCCUUCAGGGAGAAUGGGCAGCAAAUUGGUUCUCUUACACUGUGCAAACAAAAAUAAAUUUGUUCAGCGUUACGCAAUAUCUCCCCUCUCAUGCCCAAGAAGGCAUUAAAGAAAGAAGACUCCUUCCUUGCCUUUGAUGGUCACCAGGCCUGCCUGGAUAGAACUGGACAGAUUGGCUUAAUCUCAUUUCCUCUGCUGUGAUUAUACAUUUAUUGCACUGAAUCUAUGUCCUAAAUCAAACAAGAAUGUUCUUUCUCGAUGCGUGCUUUCACAGCAUCCAAAAUGCCAUUGUGUCUCCUUCUCCUGCACCACGAACACAUCGAACAGACCAUAUGUCCUUCGCUAAUGUCUCGAUGCUGUAAAUAAGGUCCUAGAAGAGUUUUCGCUUUCAGGUGAAUGUCCGUUUUGGACACACACACUAAACCAACCAGCCACUCUCUCUGCAAUGAGAUCUUGGCAGUGGCCCUGUCCUUGGUUUCGGUGUUUGGGCGUUUUGUUGUGUCUUGUUUCCUGUUUUCACUGCUCUGUAAGCCCCCCUGCUGUGAAUGUUCCAGUUAUCCCAAAUGGACUGUAUAUAUGAGCUGCAUGUGUGCACCCCAAUAAAUUCCAUUUCAGGUUUCUGCAGUUUUCUUCUUAAGUACAGCUGGUCCUGUGGUGAACGCAUCUUUCUGAUCUGUUCCUCUUAUGUCCAGUUCCCAUUUUGCCAAAAUGUUUGACCAAGUGUGUUUUAACAAAUGCCCGAGCCAGCCACGCGUCCCCUUCCUUGUGUUGAGGGUGUGUGUCAUGUGGGAUGACUUGUGUAAAUCUCUCAACUGUGGAAGUGUGUGUACAGUGAUAUGCCAGACACCCAAAAUUCAUGUAACAGCUGCAAAGAUAUUUAAUGGACAUCGGAUUAAUAAAAGAGCAUUUUUUGCUCCAUUAUAU